UUGGAAGCUAUGGAGAUUGAAGUUCUCUUUUUAUCCACAGAACAGGUACAACAAGGAACUCUUCCCCAAACACCACAAAUGUGCCUCAGCCCUGACCCAACAGGACCAUGCCAGCAGUGUGAGGGCAGUGCAUUCUCCAUGGCUAGUUCAGUUCUUGGUCAAG
ensembl:misc_RNA